AUUGAACGCUGGCGGCAGGCCUAACACAUGCAAGUCGAACGGAGCGGCGGACGGGUGAGUAAUGCCUAGGAAUCUGCCUGGUAGUGGGGGAUCACGUCCGGAAACGGGCGCUAAUACCGCAUACUAUCAGAUGAGCCUAGGUCGGAGUAGCUAGUGGGUGGGGUAAAGGCCUACCAAGGAGACGAUCCGUAGCUUGUCUGGGGGGAUGAACAGUCACACUGGAAAUGAGACACGGUCCAUACUCCUACGGGAGGCAGCAGUGGGGAAUAUGGGACAAUGGGGGAAAGACUGAUCGAGCCAUGCCGCGUGUGUGAAGAAGGUCUUCGGAUUGUAAAGCACUGUAAGUUGGGAUGCGUUACCAACAGAAUAAGCAACGGCUAACUUCGUGCCAGCAGCCGCGGUAAUUC
rnacentral:rRNA from 1 species